rnacentral:rRNA from 1 species
AUUGAACGCUGGCGGCAUGCCUUACACAUGCAAGUCGAACGGUAACGCGGGGCAACCUGGCGACGAGUGGCGAACGGGUGAGUAAUGCAUCGGAACGUGCCCAGUUGUGGGGGAUAACUGCUCGAAAGAGCAGCUAAUACCGCAUACGACCUGAGGGUGAAAGUGGGGGAUCGCAAGACCUCGCGCAAUUGGAGCGGCCGAUGUCGGAUUAGCUAGUUGGUGGGGUAAAGGCCCACCAAGGCGACGAUCCGUAGCUGGUCUGAGAGGACGACCAGCCACACUGGGACUGAGACACGGCCCAGACUCCUACGGGAGGCAGCAGUGGGGAAUUUUGGACAAUGGGCGCAAGCCUGAUCCAGCCAUGCCGCGUGCGGGAAGAAGGCCUUCGGGUUGUAAACCGCUUUUGUCAGGGAAGAAAUCUUCUGGGUUAAUACCUCGGGAGGAUGACGGUACCUGAAGAAUAAGCACCGGCUAACUACGUGCCAGCAGCCGCAGUAAUAC